GGUUUAUUGAUCUUUAUGCCUCAGGAUCUUGCACAUUACAUCUUAAUUGUGGGCCUUGGUUAAUAGUAAGUAUUUUGGGUGGACUAGGCACCUCUUAUUGAAUGACUGUCGUUUCAGCUCCAUCAAGUUUCCUUUGAGUAUCCCUGGGGAUCUCACAGUUUUUCUUUGCAUGUUUGAAGACAGGCACUGUUUUCAUAAAGAUAACAGGGGUAGACUUAUGUUUUAUCACUGUGCCCUCUUGUGGUGUGCCUUAAUCAUGCCUUUGUCCCUAAAAAGAACCCAGGUUCAAACCAUGUGAAGUCAUUCCUCAGCAAAGAUUCUUGGAUUCCACCUCAGCCUCUGCUAAAUGAUUUCUCAGUCCUGGCACCCUAGAGCUGGUCAGUCUUGGAGUUUAUGCAAAGCCUCAUUCAGUGUUGACACCCUCCACACCUACCUCCUUACCCUUUGGAGAGAAGAUGGCCAGGAACAGGAGUAUGCUGAAUUUGUGUGCUUCAGUCUGUGUGACCAGACCCUAUGUUCAAAAGCAAACAUAAGACAGCAGGGAGUGAUAACUUGCUCCAUUUCUGGAUAACAGUGACCUUGUACCCUCAGAGGGAUAAGAUGUGUACUUCAUGAAAUGUUUGGACCAACAAAAUAUUAAUACUGGUUUUCCUGGGGCAACUGAGCAUUUGCUAAGUUGCUUCCAGGGCUGGUGAGCUGGCUCAAUGGGUAAAAGCACCGACACAAAUCAAGAGCAGGUCUUUGAAGGUUAUACCCAAGUCUGAUUCCAGCCUGAAGUCUCUGCUUCCUGGUCUACUUUGAUGGAGGGACACUCCACCACACAUUUCCAUCACCAACUGCUCCUGACAUGCUUCUGUGCCAUGGCAGCGCGUAUUGACUGAUGGCAUCAGCAGGUCAGGUUCCCCAUUUCCAGUUUCCUGGCUUUCUUUCGGUGACUCUUGCUGAGACCUUACCAGCUUUCUCCUUCUUUCUGAAGAACCAGCUUUGACUUGCUGGAUUUUCCCUUGUUCACCACUUUUCUGUCUCACUG
rnacentral:lncRNA from 1 species